rnacentral:lncRNA from 1 species
AUCUGACCACUUCUGACCACUGCUUCUGCUACCAUCCACACCCAGUACCACUCACCAUCUUUUCUCACCUAACUUAUUACGAUGGCUUCUAAAGGAAAUCCCUGCUUUUAUUCUAGGCCACCUACAUUCUACCAUCCUUUUCAAACACAAGUCAAGUCAUGUCACCCCUUGGAUAAAUCCCUCCAGUGACUCUCCAUUUCAUUCAAUGUCAAUGCCAAAGUCCUUACCAUGGCUUUCAGGGCCACUAAUGAAAUGCCUGGCCUCCUUCUUUUUCUUCUUCCCUCUCUUUUGCUCAUUGGCCUUAACCACAGUGGUCUUGCUGGACUUUGUACCAGCCAGGCACACUCCUGCCUCAAGGCCUUUGCACUAGCUCUUUGUGCUACAUGGAUGGCUCUUUUCCAGAUCCCACAUAGGUAUGGUGUCCCUAGAUCCUGGUUUGCCUAAGAGUCCCUGAAUUAGUCUGUUUCUGCACUGCUAUAGAGUUACUACCUGAGACUGGGAAAUUUAUAAACAAAGAAGGUUUAAUUGACCCACAGUUCCGCAUGGCUAGGGAGGCCUCAGGAAACUUGCAAUCAUGGCCAUAGGCAAAGAGGAAGCAGGCACCUUCUUUACAAGGUGGCGGGAGAGAGAGUGCACACAGUGGAAACUGUCAUUUUUAAACCAUCAGAUCUCGUGAGAACUCCCUCACCAAUGCAAGAACAGUAGCAUGGGGGAAACCGAGUCCUUUUCCCAAAAGAGAUGAGAGGUGCAGAGAAAACAAAAAGGUACUUCAAUAUUUUAUUAUAUUUUGCAAAUGCCACACAAUGUUAUAGGUUAUUCUAGAGAUUAAUAAACCCCAAUAUAUGGUUUGCUCCUAAAUGGUUAUGAUUUUUUCUAUACAUUGAGUCUCUGAUUCAGCACUUUGAUAAGCUCUCUGCAAUUUUACCACCUAGUAGCCAAUUUACUUUGCUUUAAUAAAACAUAUUACCAAAAUAUUGUACAUCUUUUAGUCAUAGAAACUCUCUCUUUUUUCACUAUGUUAAAUAAUGAUAUACAUUUUCAAUUUAUCUUUGGUGAAUGUUAGAAUAUGACAGCUGUAUUUGUUUUUCAUGAUGUAAAGUGAAUGAUAAUAUCUCACAAGCUGAUUUAUUUCCUUCUUUUCUAUCCACAAUGAUCUCACUAUGCUAUUUCAGCUUAAAAAUAUGGAUAUUGAUACACCAGCUGCUUUAACUCUAGAGAAUAGCUCUUUCCCAUGAACCAACAAUUUUACUUAAAAGAGGAGAGAGACAUAAAAUAAAGAAACAUUUCUCAGGGCCAUCUAAACCAAAUUUUAAAAAAUCCCAAAACCCAUAUAAGCUUUGACAGCAUUGCAAGAUUUCUUUUGUUAGGGUACAAGAUACAGAAAUUCCCAUGAAAAUAACAAAUCAAUUAAAGCAUGUAUUCUCCUAAUUAAAGUUGUCAUUGUUAUUUCCAUGUUAUUAAUAGAAAAAAAAGUCUCAUCCACAUUCCCAAUUAAAUGUGCUGCAUACUUGUGCAAAGCAAGUACUAUAAAUUGAUCUAAAAGGCUGUGGAUGGUAUGCAGCAUACUGUUUUUUGGAUUUUGUUUUGUUUUAUGGGUUUUUUUCACUUUAAAGAAACCUAACAGAUUUUAUCUUUGUUUAGAAAAUCAUGCAUGCAGGGCCUGAAGCAAUGAUUUAUGCUAUGGCAUAAUAUGUUUUUGACACAAAAAGUACUUGUCAAAAAUGCAAGACACAGAGCAACUAUUCUAAGUGUUUUAAGAGGAGAAAGGACUAUCUGGCUUUCAUCAGUCAAUAAUAUAUUUGACAUAAAUAAUGAUUGAAAACUGACAGCUACAAGAUAUGAUGUAGAUGCUUCAAGUUCCUGCAAAUAAAAAGGCCUCAACAAUGUCUACGUCUUGAUCCUGGAACAUUUUUCUCUGAUUUUCUUAACCAACAAUUCAAUGAUAAUAAACAUUCAAGCAGCAUGAAGGAUUUAAUCAACACUUGCAUAAAUGCAUCAGAAAACACACUGUAUAAGCAGAGAUAACUUCCUGUCAUGGCAGGGUACAGCUUCAACAGGAGAGGACUGACUCAGAGAGACCAAGACCACAAGUCCAGCUAAGCAGAAGACAUGUGGAAGAUCCUCUAUGAUGAGAAAUAGACAAGGAGGCCAAUCUGAAAAGGUCAAGAAGGCAGGGGUAGCAGGCUCGGAGCCGCAGAAAGGCAGGGAUUAUCUAUGGCAUAGGAGCCUAGUGAAAUCAUAAGAAUAGCAUUGAAGAAGAGGGUUGGGGGUUUCAGACUCUAAGAAGAGUGGGAUGUUUUAACAACCUGCUGAACACAACUGUCUCCGGAUUCAGAAAUGUUGAUCGUGGCUUCAAGACGGGCAUAUACACAAGAAUUAAUUCACCUCCUGAUUAAGGCAUGGAUAUAGAAUCUAGGAUUGAUAGUUUUCAUGGCAAACAAUAAUAAUUAAUAACAGUCAAUAAGUAUAUCGCCCUUCAUAAGUACUUUGCAUAUAUUUACUAAUUUAAUCUUCACUAAAACCCUGUGAGAUAGAUACUAUUAUUAUUCCCAAUUUGCAGAUCAGAAAAAAAUAGAUGCAGAGGAUUUUAGUAACUUACCCAAAUCAUAUAAGUAGUAGAGCUAGAUUUGAAACCCAGCAGUCUGUACUCCUAAGCACAACAGUUUGCCACUGCCAUUCAUUUUACUUUCCAAGAGGCUGCAAUGACUGAGCUCAUCUCUUCCUAUUUUAUACUCUCAUUUCCCUAUCUAACCUGUUUUACCCUGAUUUUCCCUGUCUCUUAUAUCAUGAAUAUCAGGUUGGAUAUUCAUGUGGAACCUGAACAAUAACUGCAAAUACAUGGAAUGUGCCCUGCCCCUCCUCCUCCGAACCCAUUUGUUUAAGUUGAAAUGAGGAAGGACUCUUGUUUUAGGUUCAAGGGGAGAUUUGACUCUUGAAUGUCUGAACUGUGUAAAGGGUAUGAGGGAUGUGGGUGUGUGAAUGUGUGUGUGAGUGUGUGUAUAAAGGGCAGAGGGUGGAAUAUGGAAGGUAGAAAUUAGCGAAUAGCUGAAGGUUGAAGGUAGAAGCUAGAAAGGCUAUGUUUAAGAGGAACUCCAUGAGACUUAACGAUUUACACAGGCCUAGUAAAGCCCAAGCGCUAAAAUGUGGGACAGUUAUGGAGGGGGCAGCAGAAUGGUCUGAGAUGCUCAGCACGGCACCAGCACCAGCGACAGUGCUGAGACACUUCCAACAGUGACUCAUGAGCAGCUGACAUCAGAGACAAAAGCAGAUUAAUGGGAUUCUUCUUCAGACUUUAUAAGAACCCUCCCAGAGAUGCCUAGAAAUAAACAGGGGAGAUUUAAAAUGGGAGAAGGAAAAAAUUGAUGUCCCACAGUUGUACAGAAAAGCGCUACAAAGCAGCAAAAUGCAGGCAUUAAUGUUAAUGUGGCUUCAUUGCUUGCAGAGAAUGGUGAGGCCUGCAGAUAUCCUAGUUUGCUGUAUACAAAGGAAUAGGGAAGAGUAAGUGCAAUGCAACAUAAACCAUCCUGUUCCAUCAUGUCAAACACAGCUGCUGACAUAUUCUGCUAAUAAAGGGCAACAUAGACAUUUUACCAGAAUUGCUUAUAAUCUAUUGGUGCCUUUUUUGAGGUUUAUUUUUGUAAUUAUUGCAUAAAUAUUUAAUUCUAGCCAUAUACUAAAGUUGCUGUCCUUUUUAUUAGGGAAUUCUAUCUCUUAUUGUGCAAUUUUUUUGUGCUUUUUUCUCACUAGUAUUGACAUAUGGUACCCAACCUUGUCACUCUAGACAAGGUUCAAUUCAAGUCCUAAAGAAUUCAACUGUGACCUUUUAAUUGUCCCACUGAGCUUGUGCUUUCUUUGUUUGCCUAAAGUCAGAUUCCAAGGAUCAGGUUACAUGGGAUAAAAAACAGAAUAAGCAUUUUUGAUCUAAGCUAAUGUGACUGGACCUUAUGUAAUAGCCCUGCUGUCCUCCCAUUUUCUAUUUUGCACAUAUCUUUUCUGGUCAUCAGCUAUAACAGGCAAUCUUAGGGGGGAAACAGCCUUUUAAAAUUUCUCAAAAGGAUGAAGUAUGAGCAGAUGUCCAAGAGAAAGAUAAAAUAACAUUGCAAGUAAAAUGUAGAGAUUUAUUGAUUCACUUUAGCAAGCUGUAAUAGAAAAUGUUGAGAACCUUAGUGUAUAACACUAAAAGAGAAAGGUAAAAAGUCUCAUUUUCAUCCCAUUGUGUUCAAUAAAUCAUGUAGUUCCAGUUGCUUUCAACAAGUUUCUUUACUUUGAGUUGUCAUUAGUGUCAAGUUCAAUUCAUCAUAUGCAAAAUACUUUCUCCUAUAUAUAUUAUUAUAUGUAGAUAAACAUAUUAUAUAUAAGUAUUUACAUGUUGAUUUGUAGAAUGUAACAUUUCAUGUUAAAAUAAAGCUAUUACACACAAAGCAAUAU